ensembl:lncRNA LINC02713 long intergenic non-protein coding RNA 2713
GAUUGUCCCACUGCAUUCCAUCCUGGGCAACAGAGCAAGAGUCUGUCAAAAUAAAAAAGAAGAAAAAAAGAAGAAAGAUUUUAAUUAUUUUUAUCAACAAUUAUACAUUUUCAGUCUACUGUUAUGAAUUGCCACAACUUGGAGGCUUAGAACAACACAAAUUAGUACUCUCACAGUCCUGAAGGCUACAGCUCUGCAAUCAAGAUAUCAGCAAGGCCAUCAUUCCACUAAGGCUCUAAGGAAGAAUCCAUUUUUGCCUCUUCCUGCUUCUGGGAUGCAUCCACUUUAUUAGACGGCAAACUAGAAAAUGCUUCCUACAGUCGCCACAUAAAAAGAAUUAUCAUCAUGCCAAACAAAUUAUCAUCGGUGCCAAUGAUGUGAGAAUUGAGCAGAAAGAGCAAUGCAACAGGUUUUCUUUUCUGGCCAUGCCAAGGUGGAAGGUGAUCUUAAUUGAAGAAAGAAUGCUCAAAGUAGGCAAUGCUAUGUCUUAUCAACAAAUACUUACCAGCAUGUACAUUGCUGCUCAGAAACACAUUUGAUGAUGGAUCAGAAGUUUCCUCCUAUUUAAUGUGGUGAUAAAAAUAACUUCUAAGUAAUUCAGUUCAUAGAACCAUGAAGGACUGGGUUUGAGAUUAUGCUUUGAAUACCAUAAAGUGAUGAACACAGAGACUGAGAAAAAAAGAGGAGGAGAAGGAGUGGAAGGAUAAAUGUAUGUAAGAAAAAAAGAAGCAAAUAAAUAUUAUAGCUGAUUCUUUCUUCAUAA